UCGAGCCACUUAUUUCCUCCAGCAGAUUGGGUGUUGCUCCAGAUUCCAUCAUCGGCAGUCUCUUGCGCCUCAACUUACAGCUGGCUUGGCUGGAGAGGGAAGCUUUAAAUAACUUCAAUGGCUUCUGAAUAUUCUGAAAGCAAUUUUCUGAAGGUUUGGCAUGACAUCUAAAGCUUUGAUAAACUUCUGCCGGUAUGUGGUGGAGAGUAUGUUGACUGACAGCAUCAUGACCUGGUUACCAGAGACUGGGGUGUGUUACGUUAAUGGAAGGAUGGCGAAAGCUGCCAACUGAUUUAUGGUAACCCAGGAAUCUGCCAAAGGCCAACUGCUCAUCAUCAUGCAACACGGAAAGAGGACCUUCAGGCCAACAGGUCCAUGCCAACCAAGAUUCCUACCUAAGCUACAAUGCCAUAGCGGCUAUUCGGACCAUUGAGCCUGCUCAAUCAUGGCUGAUUUAUUUUCUGUCUCAGCAUCAUUCUCCUGCCUUCUCCCCAGAACCUUAGAAACCCUUACUGAAGUAGUCCCAAUUGCCCACGUUUGGCUGAUCUGACUAUAAGCUGAACUCUACAUUCCUGUCAACUUGGUAAUCCUUUGCUUAUGAAGAAUCUGUUUACCUCUGCCUUAAAGUAUUCAAAUAUUCGGCUUUCUCUGCUCUGUGGAAGAGAGCCCUGAAGAUUCGUGAUCAUGUGAGAGAAAAGAAAUUACCUAACCUUGCCAAAAAUGAAUGAUUCAUUACUUUUAAGCAUUUGCCCCUGGUCCUGGAUUCUCCCACAAGGGAAAGGAUUCCCUCCACAACAUCUUAUCAAAACCCCUUAGGAUCCAUCAAGUUGAUGGCAUGGUAGUAUAGCGGUUAACGUAAAUGCUAUUACAGCAGCAGUGAUUACUGAUUGGGAUUCAAUUCCCGCUGCUGCCUGUACAAUCUUCCCAUGACCACACGAAUGCUGCAGUUUUCCCCCACUUUCUAAAGUUGUUGGCACCAAAAGCAUGGCAACCUUUGGCAGGCUUUCCCCUCAUCCCAUAACUGGACUGUGUUGGCCGAUGAGGCAAAAUGACACAUUUUGCUGUAUGCUUUGAUGUACAUUUGUCAAAUAAAGCUGAUAAGCCCCCUCUUAUUUCUCCAAACUCUAGUGGAUCCCAGUCAUUUCUUAGCACAGCAAUCUCAGCCACUCAGGCACUGAAAGUGGAUUUGUGCUUGUAUGGUACAAGGAACAGAAGACAAAUGUGGACUGCUUCUAAACAAAGCUAUGGCUGCUCUGUGCACGGGGCUGCAUAUCAAAGGGAGGCUUCUCCAAAAGAGGUAGAAAUCAGGAACUUUACUGGGAAUCGUCCAACCAAGAGGGACAUGGUCAGGCUCAAAAUGACGUCCCACAUGUUUUUCUAUUUUUAUGGAACUUAGGUUUUAGCGGCAGUUUUGACAACACUUCCAUAAAAGGGAUUGUUGUCAAGUUGUCUCUGACCUCUGACCUUGAUGCUAAUUAGCACUAAUUGUUGUCUUUAUCCACAGUAAUCUAGACAUAGGAACAGUAAGGAAUAUUUUGUCUUAUAUGGCCACAUUAACCUGAUACAAGCAGUAAUAUUUACCAUAGAUUAACCAGCUGGUUACUCUGAGGAUUACAUAACACAAUGUAGAGUCAGGAGUGCAAUGUAAUAAGUGAUUUGACAUUAGUUUAUAUCAAAAUCUGUGCUUAACUUUUACUGCAAAAGAUUGUUUAAACUAUUCAGAGCUGACAGAUCUCACUUGAGAGGUAUUUUGUGUGUAUUUCAUCAGUGACUCGUUGCUGUAUCAUCUUUCUUGACCCUGCCCUUUUGAAUGUGCCUGAAUGUAUUUAUAUGUGUACGGUA